AUCACUUCUGGGCCUUUUGGCUAAGAUCAAGUGUAGAAUCUGUUCUCAUCAGUUUAUUAAAGUGUGACUUAAGACCCACAAAUGCAACAGCCAUGAUUUCUUAAUUCUAUUGCCAUCUCUAAUGCUUCCUUUUAUUUCUUUCUCAGUUGUUUUCUAGGUUAAUUCAGCAAGAAUGAUCACUUUAAAUCAGAUUAGCUGACGUAUU
ensembl:snRNA LOC120096843 U2 spliceosomal RNA